GGAUCAGCCUGGCUGUCCGAGGAGCUGAGCUGUGCAUCCCCCAACCCGUUACACAAAGAUAAACAACGUGCGUGACCGUGGAAUGAGAGGUUAAGAAUAUAAUGAAUUCAAAUACAAAGGAAAGGACAAUCUGAUCUCUGCAUGACACUUAGCUUGCAAGGUGCCUCCUGUGCCUGGACACCAUGGCAAGGGAAUGCCAGGAUUUUGAGCAGCUAAA